CGCAAGCUGAAACUAAAGGAAUUGACGGGGGCCCGCACAAGCGGUGGAACAUGUGGUUCAAUUCGACGCAACGGAAGAACCUUACCUGGGCUUGAACCGCUACUGACCAGUGGUGGAAACAUCGCCUUCUCGAAGAGACAGUAGUAGAGGUGCUGCAUGGCUGUCGUCAGCUCGUGCCGUGAGGUGUUGGGUAAGUCCCGCAACGAGCGCAACCCUUACUCUUAGUUGCCACCCGCAAGGGGGAACUCUAGAGGACUGCUCCGGAUAACGGAGAGGAAGGUGGGGAUGACGUCAAGUCAGCACGGCCUUAUGUCCAGGGCUACACACGUGUUACAAUGCACGGUACAGACUGUUGCGAACCCGCGAGGAGAGCUAAUCGGAAAAACCGUGCUCAGUUCGGAUUGCAGUCUGCAACUCGACUGCAUGAGCUGGAAUCGCUAGUAAUGGCGUAUCAGAACGACGCCGUGAAUACGUUCCCGGGCCUUGACACACCGCCCGUCACAUCACGAAAGUGGGCUGUACUAGAAGUCGCCAUGCUAACCGCAGGAAGCCAGCGCCCAAGGUAUGGCUCAUGAUUGGGGUG
rnacentral:rRNA from 1 species